rnacentral:ncRNA from 1 species
ACAUUUGCAACGAAAUUUGGUUUCCGCUGCGGCGGAAUUAAAAGGGAAUCUGGUGAGAAACCAGAACUGUUCCCGCAACUGUAAGCUAUAAAGCUUCAUGUUAACUUCAAUGUCACUGUCAUUUAGAUGGGAAGACCAACAUGAAGACGCAAGUCAGGAGACCUGCCAUUUUCAAAACAAAUAA